AUUGAACGCUGGCGGCAGGCUUAACACAUGCAAGUCGAGCGGGGUGAUGGUGCUUGCACUAUCACUUAGCGGCGGACGGGUGAGUAAUGCUUAGGAAUCUGCCUAUUAGUGGGGGACAACAGCGCGAAAGGGAUGCUAAUACCGCAUACGUCCUACGGGAGGAAGCAGGGGAUCACUUGUGACCUUGCGCUAAUAGAUGAGCCUAAGUCGGAUUAGCUAGUUGGUGGGGUAAAGGCCUACCAAGGCGACGAUGUGUAGCGGGUCUGAGAGGAUGAUCGGCCACACUGGGACUGAGACACGGCCCAGACUCCUACGGGAGGCAGCAGUGGGGAAUAUUGGACAAUGGGGGGAACCCUGAUCCAGCCAUGCCGCGUGUGUGAAGAAGGCCUUAUGGUUGUAAAGCACUUUAAGCGAGGAGGAGGCUCUUUUGGUUAAUACCCAAGAUGAGUGGACGUUACUCGCAGAAUAAGCACCGGCUAACUCUGUGCCAGCAGCCGCCGUAA
rnacentral:rRNA from 1 species